GACGAACGCUGGCGGCGUGGAUUAGGCAUGCAAGUCGAACGGUAUCAUCCUUUCGGGGGUGAGAGAGUGGCGAACUGGUGAGUAACACGUAGGUUAUCUACCCUCAAGACGGGGACAACCCAGGGAAACUUGGGCUAAUACCGGAUGUGAGCAACUUUUAGUUGUUUGAAAGGUGGCGUAAGCUGUCGCUUGGGGAUGAGCCUGCGUCCUAUUAGUUAGUUGGUGAGGUAACGGCUCACCUAGGCAAUGAUAGGUAGGCGGCCUUAACGGGUGGUCGCCCACACUGGGAUUGAGAUACGGCCCAGACUCCUACGGGAGGCAGCAGUCGAGAAUAGUCUACAAUGGUCGGAAGACUGAUAGUGCGACGCCGCGUGAACGAUGAAUCCCUUCGGGGUUAAAGUUCUUUUAUAUGUGAGCAGUGCUUCUUAUAUUAAACAGUAUGGGGAGAGAGAUAUUAGCAUAUGAAUAAGCAACGGCUAACUCCGUGCCAGCAGCCCGGGUAAUA
rnacentral:rRNA from 1 species